UAUUUUUUAUGUUGCAUACAUUUAUUCACAUUUUGUUUGUAAGUUUCCAUACUGCUUCUGCUAGAUCUAAAUGCAUUGUUAUGGUACCAGAUAGUAUUUUGAUUUUUAUAUGCAUUUACACCUACACAUAGUACAUGUGUAUAUGAAAUGGUACUGGGUAAAUGUACUUUAUUUUACUUAUAGUAAAUGUACCAUUAAUGUGUAAUAAUUGCCUUCUUUAGAUGAUGUCUCUAAGUGCAUCAUAUAUAUUGCCAUACGACAUACUUUUUCUCAUUCAAUACAGUUAUUUUUUUAAAUCUUGAAUUACUAUUUAUUGUCUGAUGGUAAAUGUUGCCAAAUAAUCAUAAUUCUGAUAAAAUUACAGCUGGUUUAAUGUUAACCCAAUUGUUUUGUUGUGGGGUUUGCAUGGAUGAUGAACCAAAAACAAAAAUGAUGUAAUUGCAGCUGUUAAAAGUUUCACAAUUCUUCUGUUAUGUUAAAAUGCACUGUCUCUUUACAUGCAUCAUAUACACUUGAUGCUAUUUUGAUUAUCCUGUAAUGUCUAUAUACCUCAAAUAUGUGCUAUGCAUUUAUACUAAAUAUCAUUAGUCCUUUUGAAAAGACAAGUAAAUAGCUUUGCCAGUACUGGUAGUACCUGAUGUUUGAACAUUUUAGAUUCGUAGUUGCUGAUUAAUAGUUAUGAUUUUUUUCUGACAGUCAAAGCUCCUCUUUUGUCGGAUGCAUUGAUCCUAUGAUCCUGUAUGUUGUUUUGUUUGUAUAUUGUGUGUACAAGCUGUACCUGGGUACUGCUGGUCAGUCUCAGCCAGUGUAAACCAAGAAAUGGGGGUUGGGGAAUUAGUGGCUACUGUGUUUAUAUCUAUGUAGACUAAUCAGUAGAGCUGUACUAUGAACUCCCUGAUAUAAAGCAUCGUGGUUUGUUCUCUGUAUGAUAUUAUGAUGGUUUUAGACUGUCUUAAAGAGAGGUUAUUGUCUCCACAGCUUAACUAAACAUUAUUUUUGUUCUGUCAGUGAGAACUUUUUACAGACCUGAACAAUUCUUUAAAAACUAUAUAGUUACAGAGUGGUUCAUUUAUAUUCAUUGGCAACAAUAAUUCAUAGCUUCAAUGAUACAUUAAUUUGUGGAAAAUAGUUUCACCAAUAGGACUUUUUUGUUAUUUCUUUAAACACCUUAACAAUAAAAUUCAUUAAAACUGAUGAAACCACAAUAUACCUGAAUGUGUUACAUAAUACAUUAACUUCUCCACAUUUGUAUUAUUGUUUUAUUGAAAGGGGGGAGAUUUUGUGUUCUUAAUGACCAUACAUUCCUAUUCCUUUUUUUUUAAUAAAAGAAUUACAAUGAAUAUAAGUUUCAAUCGGGUGAUUUAGAAUAUUUUCUGUUUAAAUUGCUUACAAAUUAUAUGCAACUGUUACAUAAUUAUGUGUUUUAAAUACUGUUGUUUUUACUUGCUUGUGAGGAUGAUGUACUGUCGUAUGCUGCUAGCAAAGCAUCAUAUUAUAUUGUAGCUUUUAAGUUUCAAUGAUAAAAAGUCUAAAUUUGG
rnacentral:sRNA from 1 species